UACGUAGGGUGCAAGCGUUGUCCGGAAUUAUUGGGCGUAAAAGAGCUCGUAGGUGGCCUGUCGCGUCGGCUGUGAAAACUCGGGGCUCAACUCCGAGCUUGCAGUCGAUACGGGCAGGCUAGAGUUCGGCAGGGGAGACUGGAAUUCCUGGUGUAGCGGUGAAAUGCGCAGAUAUCAGGAGGAACACCGAUGGGCGAAGGCAGGUCUCUGGGCCACUACUGACGCUGAGAAGCGAAAGCAUGGGGGAGCAAACAGG
rnacentral:rRNA from 1 species